rnacentral:rRNA from 1 species
CCUACGGGAGGCAGCAGUGAGGAAUAUUGGUCAAUGGACGAGAGUCUGAACCAGCCAAGUAGCGUGAAGGAUGACUGCCCUAUGGGUUGUAAACUUCUUUUAUAUGGGAAUAAAAUGUUCCACGUGUGGGAUUUUGUAUGUACCAUAUGAAUAAGGAUCGGCUAACUCCGUGCCAGCAGCCGCGGUAAUACGGAGGAUCCGAGCGUUAUCCGGAUUUAUUGGGUUUAAAGGGAGCGUAGGUGGAUUGUUAAGUCAGUUGUGAAAGUUUGCGGCUCAACCGAAAAAUUGCAGUUGAAACUGGCAGUCUUGAGUACAGUAGAGGUGGGCGGAAUUCGUGGUGUAGCGGUGAAAUGCUUAGAUAUCACGAAGAACUCCGAUUGCGAAGGCAGUUCACUGGACUGCAACUGACACUGAGGCUCGAAAGUGUGGGUAUCAAACAGGAUUAGAUACCCCUGUAGUC